rnacentral:pre_miRNA from 1 species
CGGGGGAGGCCGGAUCCUGGGCUGCGUCCUGGCGCCCUGUGCUCCGGGGCCUGCGCUGUUGGAUUCGCGCUCCCGCCCCGCAGCCCCCU